rnacentral:rRNA from 1 species
CAGCAGCCGCGGUAAUACGGAGGGUGCAAGCGUUAAUCGGAAUUACUGGGCGUAAAGCGUGCGUAGGCGGUUCGUUAAGUCUGUUGUGAAAGCCCCGGGCUCAACCUGGGAAUGGCAAUGGAUACUGGCGAGCUAGAGUGUGUCAGAGGAUGGUGGAAUUCCCGGUGUAGCAGUGAAAUGCGUAGAGAUCGGAAGGAACAUCUGUGGCGAAGGCGACUAUCUGGGCCAACACUGACACUGAGACACGAAAGCGUGGGGAGCAAACAGGAUUAGAUACCCCUGUAGUCCCUGUCUCUUAUAC